rnacentral:rRNA from 1 species
UACGUAGGGGGCAAGCGUUGUCCGGAUUUACUGGGCGUAAAGAGCGCGUAGGCGGAAGCUUAAGCGUGGCCUGAAAGCCCCCGGCUCAACCGGGGAGGGUGGCUGCGAACUGGGCUUCUUGAGGGCGAUAGAGGAGAGCGGAAUUCCUGGUGUAGCGGUGGAAUGCGUAGAGAUCGGGAAGAACAUCGGUGGCGAAGGCGGCCAGCUGGGCCAUUGCUGACGCUGAGGCGCGACAGCGUGGGGAGCAAACAGG